UACGAAGGGGGCUAGCGUUGUUCGGAUUUACUGGGCGUAAAGCGCACGCAGGCGGUUUGUUAAGUCAGAUGUGAAAUCCCCGAGCUUAACUUGGGAACUGCAUUUGAAACUGGCAAGCUAGAGUCUUGUAGAGGGGGGUAGAAUUCCAGGUGUAGCGGUGAAAUGCGUAGAGAUCUGGAGGAAUACCGGUGGCGAAGGCGGCCCCCUGGACAAAGACUGACGCUCAGGUGCGAAAGCGUGGGGAGCAAACAGG
rnacentral:rRNA from 1 species